UGGGGGAUAUUGCACAAUGGGCGAAAGCCUGAUGCAGCGACGCCUCGUGGGGGAUGAAGGCCUUCGGGUUGUAAACUUCUUUUGCUCUGAACAAGGCAUGCCUUUGGGGUGUGUUGAGUGUAGGGGUUGAUUAGCGCCGGCUAACUACGUGCCAGCAGCCGCGGUAAUACGUAGGGCGCGAGCGUUGUCCGGAAUUAUUGGGCGUAAAGGGCUUGUAGGUGGCUGGUUGCGUCUGUCGUGAAAGCUCAUGGCUUAACUGUGGGUUUGCGGUGGGUACGGGCUGACUUGAGUUCAGUAGGGGAGACUGGAAUUCCUUGUGUAGCGGUGGAAUGCGCAGAUAUCAGGAGGAAUACCGGUGGCAAAGGCGGGUCUCUGGGCUGUUACUGACGCUGAGGAGCGAAAGCGUGGGGAGCGAACAGG
rnacentral:rRNA from 1 species